ACGAACGCUGGCGGCGUGCCUAAUACAUGCAAGUCGAACGCUUCUUUUUCCAUCGGAGCUUGCUCCACCGGAAAAAGAGGAGUGGCGAACGGGUGAGUAACACGUGGGUAACCUGCCCAUCAGAAGGGGAUAACACUUGGAAACAGGUGCUAAUACCGUAUAACAAUCGAAACCGCAUGGUUUUGAUUUGAAAGGCGCUUUCGGGUGUCGCUGAUGGAUGGACCCGCGGUGCAUUAGCUAGUUGGUGAGGUAACGGCUCACCAAGGCGACGAUGCAUAGCCGACCUGAGAGGGUGAUCGGCCACAUUGGGACUGAGACACGGCCCAAACUCCUACGGGAGGCAGCAGUAGGGAAUCUUCGGCAAUGGACGAAAGUCUGACCGAGCAACGCCGCGUGAGUGAAGAAGGUUUUCGGAUCGUAAAACUCUGUUGUUAGAGAAGAACAAGGAUGAGAGUAACUGUUCAUCCCUUGACGGUAUCUAACCAGAAAGCCACGGCUAACUACGUGCCAGCAGCCGCGGUAAUACGUAGGUGGCAAGCGUUGUCCGGAUUUAUUGGGCGUAAAGCGAGCGCAGGCGGUUUCUUAAGUCUGAUGUGAAAGCCCCCGGCUCAACCGGGGAGGGUCAUUGGAAACUGGGAGACUUGAGUGCAGAAGAGGAGAGUGGAAUUCCAUGUGUAGCGGUGAAAUGCGUAGAUAUAUGGAGGAACACCAGUGGCGAAGGCGGCCUGCUGGGCUUUAACUGACGCUGAGGCACGAAAGCGUGGGUAGCAAACAGGAUUAGAUACCCUGGUAGUCCACGCUGUAAACGAUGAUUACUAGGUGUUGGAGGAUUGACCCCUUCAGUGCCGCAGUUAACACAAUAAGUAAUCCACCUGGGGAGUACGACCGCAAGGUUGAAACUCAAAGGAAUUGACGGGGGCCCGCACAAGCGGUGGAGCAUGUGGUUUAAUUCGAAGCAACGCGAAGAACCUUACCAGGUCUUGACAUCCUUUGACCACUCUAGAGAUAGAGCUUCCCCUUCGGGGGCAAAGUGACAGGUGGUGCAUGGUUGUCGUCAGCUCGUGUCGUGAGAUGUUGGGUUAAGUCCCGCAACGAGCGCAACCCUUAUUGCCAGUUACUACGCAAGAGGACUCUGGCGAGACUGCCGUUGACAAAACGGAGGAAGGUGGGGAUGACGUCAAAUCAUCAUGCCCCUUAUGACCUGGGCUACACACGUGCUACAAUGGGAAGUACAACGAGUCGCAAAGUCGCGAGGCUAAGCUAAUCUCUUAAAGCUUCUCUCAGUUCGGAUUGUAGGCUGCAACUCGCCUACAUGAAGCCGGAAUCGCUAGUAAUCGCGGAUCAGCACGCCGCGGUGAAUACGUUCCCGGGCCUUGUACACACCGCCCGUCACACCACGAGAGUUUGUAACACCCGAAGUCGGUGAGGUAACCUUUUGGAGCCAGCCGCCUAAGGUGGGAUAGAUGAUUGGGGUG
rnacentral:rRNA from 1 species